AACCAGGAGCUUCUCACUGAUACCCAGAGCCAGGCAGAGAGACAAACUGAAAUGCAGAAAAAUUCUGUUUAAACAGAGGGGAAAAGAGAGAGGAAAUUUCAAGUGAGAGGGAUGGGGAAACCCUCGACAGAGAAAAUGCUGAGUUACUGCUGCUCACCAAGUCUCAGGACUAAGGGGAGGGUUUUUCUUCUACUCUCUACUCUUGCUGAGUUUCAGCAUUUUGGGUUUGACUUGGGAUGAAGUCGGUUUUUUAUGGCCUCACAGCUGCUGGGAGGUUUGAAACAAGACUAAAGUGGGUAUAAAAUAUCCCCAAAGACAGAUCUGGGUGAGCACUUUGCCAGGGUAUCAAUAACAGCAUCAAAUUAUGCUCAGAAAUGGGAAAGAUCUCAUCCAACCCGUGUUGAAAUCAAGGGAAAAAGACUUUCUUGGGCUUUGGAAUGGUUUGGUCAGGCCUCAGGCAUGGCAAUUAAAGUAGAUAUUGGACAGAUUUUGCUGCAGGAAUCACCAGAGGGAAUUGUUAAUGCAUUGGCAGCACCACCCCACAUGUGUAACAAAAAAAACAGCACAAAACCCUCUAAAGAUUUGCUCAUCUCCAUCACUUGGACCAGUCUGGAAAGUCUAAGGAUUAACAGAUACUGGACUAGGAGGUUUUGCUCAGGAAAAUCAAUUUUCAAUACUAGCACAAACAAGUGGGAAGAACAGGAGCUGUUUUUACCAAUUUGGGGUUUAUAUAUUUGUUUUUAUCAGUUAUUUUUGUCUGCUUUCUUCCUAUCCUGCAGGAUGAUGGGGCAGGAAUCUCCAGGAUUUAGGAGCAUUUUGGCAGCCAGGCAGUUCUGACUCCCUCAAAACCUUGCCUAUGGAUGCUGGUUUCUUGUGGUGUCCCAAUUCCCUGAAAUAACUUCAAUUUUCAACACAAGCCACGGCACUGAGGCCGAAAAGAAGAAGAUGAAUUGUGGGAAGCUUUAAUCAGGGUUAAGGGUUUAACUUGGACUUUUGGAUGGCGAUUUCAAAACAUGAGAAAUUUUUUCUCCUUUUUAAAAUUUUAUUUUUUUUUUUUUGCAGGUGAGCCUUUCUUGAAUAACUCAAAACCAUUCAGCCUUGACAGUGUGAAUACAUUGCCGUUUAUUAGGCGUUGGCAAGGCAUUAAAACAUCUGGUUCCUAAGAAACACGGGGUUUUUCUUUUUUCUGGAGCUUUUGUUCCGUUAGAUGGAAUUACUUCGGGAAAAUCUCCAGAGAGAAACCUCUGGCUCGACAGCUUCCAGCCACAUUCCUGCGAGAGCCUUCGGCAUCAGCAGCAGGGGAAGUUUGGGGGUUGCUCUUUUCCUACAUCCAAGGGACAGCAGGGAAUGAGGGGGAGGGAAGCACAGGAAAAAAACUGGGAGAGAGCUGGGAUCUUAAUCAAGGACCGCCUGAAUUUUGUGGAAUCCCAGGAUCGUUAAGGUUGGAAAGAACCCCCGAGAUCAUCGGUCCAACUGCACCAUGAAUGGCCACAUUUAUUCAGUUUUUGAACACCCACCUCGUGUCAACCUAAUCCGUGGGAAGUUCACCUCCAAAAUUCCCUCCCAGCUGAAGCCUGACUGAUGGGAAGGAUCCGAGCAUGUGGCAGCUCCCAGCAGAGGUCAAAUGUGGGAGGAAGGAAACCUGGAUUUGCUACAUCUCUACCAGGAGCAGCUCCAGUGCUCUGAAACAGAAUUCCAAUCUCCAAACCAUGGGAAAGUUUUUGUUGGAUUUCCGUCAAUCUCUUGUCCAACCAGCUCAUUCCUUUGGAAGAACGAUGGAAAAACUUGAACAAAAUCUGUUCGAUCCUGAAAAUGCCCAAGAAUGGAGAUUUUUGCUGCUGUGGAGUUCUAGGAAGGACCCUCAGGGAGGACAAAAAACCUGUCCCAAAGUUGGAAACAAUAGCAGCAGGCUUGGGAUGAGAACUUCCAAGUGGCAACAGGCCACGGUGUAAAAAAAACCCAACCCUAAAAGCAGAUUAACAUUGAACCAACGUCAAAUAAAAUACUUCCGGUCAGCUCAGUGAAUCCAAGUGAAACAAUCCCAUUUCAAGGAAUGCUGAAAUAUUUCAUUAUUUUUGCAAAAAAAAAAAAAUGCUGAAGGGAAACAUUUUGA